UGGGAAGAUGAGGUGCAGCUAGUGGGUUUGCAUUACCGAGGAGUACUCUUGUGCUUUGGAACCCCAAUCUUUUAAAGGGGCUCCUAGCACACCUGACCAAUUUUUCCCUUGGAGAGAGACAUUAUUUUUAUUACCUUGAUCAGCAAACAAAUCUGCCCUCUUGGGAGAGGCCUCCCUUGAAGGGAGAAACUAUCUUUAUCUUUCUUCCAAAGCCCUUUCCUGUACAAAAAUUCUUAAGUGUGAUGGUUAAUAUUAAGUGUCAACUUGAUCGGAUUGAAGGAUGCAAAGUAUUGUUCCUGAGUGUAUCUGUGAGGGUAUUGCCAAAGGAGAUUAACAUUUGAGUCAGUCGACUGGGACAGGCAGGCUCACCCUCUGUCUGGGUGGGCACCAUCUAAUCAGCAGCCAGCAUAAAAGCAGGAAUGGAAAGAGCAGAAUUGCUGAGUCUUCUGGCCUCCAUCUUUCUCCCAUGCUGGAUGCUUCCUGCCCUCAAACAUUAGACUCCAAGUUCUUCAGCUUUUGGACUCUUGGACUUACACCAGUGAUUUUCCAGGGGCUCUCAGGCCCUUUGGCCACAGACUGAAGGCUCCAUUGUUGGCUUGCCUACUUUUGAGGUUUUGGAAGUCAGACUGGCUUUCUGGCUCCUCAACUUGUGGACUUCCUAUUGUGGGACUUCACUUUGUGACUAUGUGAGCACGUUAUUAUUAUUUUGACCCAGA
rnacentral:lncRNA from 1 species